CAGGUUUUGCCAUCUUGAUUUUGUUGCUGAUGAGAAGUUAAAUUUUUACAAUAAUAUUUAAUUUAUAAUUGGAUUUAAAUAAAUUACCCUCGAGAUUACCGCUGUUAAGUGCGCUUUUAUUCUCCAUAGUGUGCGGUCAGGAAGAAUUUAUUUACGGUGGAAAAGGGUUUACUGCGCCGAGUGUGGAAUCAAUUCGGAACGACAUGAUUCGGAGCUUGUGCGAUUUGUGGGUUGGAUCUUGCCAGAUUGUGUGAUUGUUCCGGAACAGCUUCAAUUCGCCGAUCAAUCCGGCCUCCCGCUGCAACGCCCGUAACUCGUCGUUUUUUUACGGUGCUGCAACCGUGGACGUCCUAUCUUAUCGGAUAGAUGGAGAAAAACGGAACGACCGACUCCGAUUGAAUGUUCCAUAAACCGAUGCUCUAUCAUUCAAAUUGAACGGAAAAGAAUCCCACGUACAGCCAUGUGAUUUUAAGUUUCAGCAGAGCCCCGCGGUCAGUAGGUUGCGCCAGGUGCGAGAAAGUGCUCAAAUAGAUCGACGAAUUAUCCAAUCCGGAAAUGUGCGAAGCCGCUAUGUUGCAGCUGAGCAAAAAAAGUGAAUCGGGUUGGAAUCUUUCCCAAUAGUGUGGUUUCGGUAUAGCUUCUAUCCGUCGACUAAACCGGCCACCCAAAUCGUGUUUAGCCUCGCUACAACUGCUGAAACUUGCCUUUUUUUUUUCUGACGACACACAUUUGAUUGUUUCUAAGUUGCGUGACAGAAUAUGCGCCAGUCUACAGGAUAACUAAUGCACUACUGUGGCUUUCGUUCCUUAAAGAAUUUCUCAAAACCGUGACCGAGCCUAGGACCAAUUCACGAGUAACCAAUAGAACGGUUUUAAUGAAUGCUUACGAAUGUUCAUUUAAUUAGAGGAUACCAUGAAAAUGGGUGAAUUCAUAGGAAUUUGGUAGCUGAUCACUGCAUUUACCGGGAGGCACAGACAAGGCAUGUUACAUAUUUGAUGACUUAAACAUUCAUUCAAGACUCGGUUCGAUCGAUCUUCCACAUUUGAAGGACUUCUUCACCAUGCCGUCACGUAGCCAUUCUACUUAAGAGCUCCAAGUCAGAUUUAAUCAUUCGCGGAAUAGUUUGUACCAAGAUCCAGCAGCUUUGUUUCAUCACAACAGAUGUUGGCUAACCGAAAUUGUCAGCAACAUGAAAGCCAACAGAAAGAUUCCUUCCCGAAGCGAAGUCGGUGGUUCUCCCACCCAUCAGAACGUCGGCUUAGGAGGCACCCACCCAACUAAGACAGAAAAAAAGCGUCAGGCCGCUGCAUCGAUCAGUGCGUUAUAGGUACUAGAGGUUUGCGAUGCCCAGACCGAGGCUGGCAGCAACUGCUGCGCAAUAUUUCUGACAUGCUAUGCGAUUUACCCACCAUCCCAGGACAAUUGACGGUGAAUUGGCGCGUCGGUAUACAAGUCAAGUCAUGACUAUCACCUAUCCCAAAAACUUCCAAAUAUCAAUAGAUCAGAAUGCAGAAUGGAACCGUGGUUGCGCGUUGGUGUGGCAAAAUCGUUACCGUCAAUUUAAUAUUAAGCUUUUUUAAUGUAUAUAAAUAUGGACAGAUAUGAUAUAGACAAAAAAAUCAAAGCAUACAUUUAUAAUAAAAUUAUUGAUAUGAUACAAA